rnacentral:rRNA from 1 species
UACGUAGGGCGCAAGCGUUGUCCGGAAUUACUGGGCGUAAAGAGCUCGUAGGUGGUUUGUCGCGUUGUUCGUGAAAACUCACAACUCAAUUGUGGGCGUGCGGGCGAUACGGGCAGACUGGAGUACUGCAGGGGAGACUGGAAUUCCUGGUGUAGCGGUGGAAUGCGCAGAUAUCAGGAGGAACACCGGUGGCGAAGGCGGGUCUCUGGGCAGUAACUGACGCUGAGUAGCGAAAGCGUGGGGAGCGAACAGG